rnacentral:lncRNA from 1 species
GGGGGCACGAUCAUCCGGUGAACUAAAGCAAGUAGGCAUAGUUGGGUGUGGUGCAGAAGAGGGGCGGAGUGGUGCGCCACAGUGGCCCCGUGACAGAGGACUCGGUAAAGCUGUCCGGGAGCUUGAACUUUACCUUGAGGGCAAAGGGGAGCUGGGGAAGAGUUUAAGGGGAAGAAUGACACGGUCUGGUUGGCAGUUUGGAAAGAUGCCUCUGGCUGCUGGGUGCGGGUUUGGAAGGAGCAGAGACAAGAGAAGGGGCUGGAACGAGGAGCCAGUUUCAGCACAGAAAGUCUUGUGUCCUGAAAACCUCCUCAGUCUCCACAAAGCGGAAGAGGGCCCCAAGGAAGCAGAGAGCAGAUGGUGGUGGAGGAGGUGGGGCAAGACCAGAAGAGACAAUGACUUAUUCUUCUCUGUCCUGUGGACACUCACUGAGGGCCACUCUGCGUCUGGGACACCAGGGACUGGCCCAAGGUCACAGAGGGCCCUAGGCUGGGGAGAAGUCAAGGCUGACCCUGGGUCCCCAACUCCAGGUUCCACCACCACAAACAAGUCUAGGGGGGGGCCACCUGUACCCUCUGUGGACUCUUGCCCUCCCUGCCCCAUUCCCAGAGAAUCCUUAGACAUCGGAGCCCACCUUAGAGCUCUAGUAUUGUUUUUUAUAAAACUGGAAUCGACUUAUCCCAUAAGCUCAAACAAUACAAAGCAGCAUAAAGAACACUUCAAAACGUUGAAAUUUUACUUCUGGGGGUGAAGAACCACCCCUAAAAGAGGUGGCAGAGCUAAGUGCUCACCAGCACAGCCUCCCAGGCCCAAGUGCCUGGCGCCCAAGAUGGCGCGCACACCGGCACCCAGCAAGCUUUACACUUACUAUUUCCACAUUUUACAAUGUUUGUGAAGUAUAAUUCCCCAAAAGUGUUUUUGAAAUGCAAAGGAACAAUAAUAAACCCUAUAUAUAUUUUCAGUAAUAUCUAAUUAACGAGGUGUUUGUAAAGAUAAAAUGAGAAAAAGCUUGUGACUCUUAGC